GUGGGGAAUUUUGGACAAUGGGCGCAAGCCUGAUCCAGCAAUGCCGCGUGCAGGAAGAAGGCCUUCGGGUUGUAAACUGCUUUUGUACGGAACGAAACGGUCCUGGCUAAUACCUGGGGCUAAUGACGGUACCGUAAGAAUAAGCACCGGCUAACUACGUGCCAGCAGCCGCGGUAAUACGUAGGGUGCGAGCGUUAAUCGGAAUUACUGGGCGUAAAGCGUGCGCAGGCGGUGCUGUAAGACAGGCGUGAAAUCCCCGGGCUCAACCUGGGAAUUGUGCUUGUGACUGCAGUGCUGGAGUGCGGCAGAGGGGGAUGGAAUUCCGCGUGUAGCAGUGAAAUGCGUAGAUAUGCGGAGGAACACCGAUGGCGAAGGCAAUCCCCUGGGCCUGCACUGACGCUCAUGCACGAAAGCGUGGGGAGCAAACAGGAUUAGAAACCCCUGUAGUCC
rnacentral:rRNA from 1 species